GCGUGGAUUGUGUAUAAAAGAACAGGUAUGUGCUUUAUGCAGAACAUUGUUGUGUUAACAACCCUGAAAAUGGCAAAGAGACACGCCUAUGAAACACAGUUUAAACUGAAGGCUACCAGCUAAGCAGAGGAAGAUGGAAAUCGAGCAGCCGCGAGAGAAUUCAAGAUUAAUGAAUCGAUGGUUCGCAAGUGGAGGCCUGUUGGAAACUGCCGCCUAUGUGAAGAGGAAUGUUGCAAGAGUAGUCCUGCAUAAAGAAAAUUCCUGCAACAAGUUCAGACAAGGGGGCCAAGAGUGAGGCUGGUCUUGAGACCAACAUCAAUGACUGCAGGUGACUUACUGGGUAUGAAGGGCUGUUGCAAGGCCAAGGACACGAAGCAAGCGUGUAUCCACUGUUACUACUGUACAUGCUAAACCAGUAGGAGUUAAUUCAGCAACGUUAAUGAAUCUCCAGAGUUCUCAGAUACGAUUAAAGAUGUUAACCAAUGAUUUUACAGAGUGGGAUCAGUAACGUACCUUGAGAUGACAUAUGAAUGGCAAAUAUGAAAAACUCAACUGAAUAGAAACAUUGCCUACUGGCUAAACCUGACUUAUUAUAAAAAAAAUGACGAUAUGCACUGUCAAUGUAACUAGUAAGUAAAAGAUUGACAUACAGAAAACGCUAAUAAGAAAGAGCCUAGAGAUCAUUAGCCCAUAUUGUUACUUAACUGUCAAAUUAUGCUUAGUGAGUGCAUUAAAAACUAAACAAACAAAUUUGGUCUCAAAAUCU